rnacentral:rRNA from 1 species
UACGUAGGCAGCGAGCGUUGUUCGGAAUUACUGGGCGUAAAGAGUGUGUAGGCGGUGUUCUAAGUUUGUCGUGAAAUCUCCCGGCUUAACUGGGAGGGUGCGGCGAAAACUGGAAUGCUAGAGGAUGGGAGAGGUAAGCGGAAUUCCUGGUGUAGCGGUGAAAUGCGUAGAUAUCAGGAGGAACACCUGUGGUGUAGACAGCUUACUGGACCAUUUCUGACGCUGAGACACGAAAGCGUGGGUAGCAAACAGG